GUGAAAAUAAAUGUAUCAAGGAAGAAGAAUUAAAAAGCCCAGAUAUGUGCACACACAGAAGCAAGGGAAAAAUCUGCAUCAUUGCCAUUCAUAUCUCUGAUCAGUUUCAAGUCACUGCUGACUGAAAAUGACAGCACAUAUCACAGUGAAUGACAGUGAUAUGGAAAUGAUGAGAGUACAGAAUGCACGGAGAUUCCUGCUGAUGUGGGGAAUUCAUCUGGAUACGUUCAUCUGGACAAUUUCAUUACUGGCUGCCGGCCAGUACACUUUCUGCAAAGCGUCACUGCAUGCUGGACUCACAAGAGUGUCAACGGUUUACGGGCGUUCAGCCCGGUUCUGUGACGAAGGGGAUGGGGGAUCCACGGGUCCACACCCUGUGAAAAGGGAAAAGGGGAAAAAGGGUAAGGAGAUGGCCCUGAGAGCAAAGAACAGUGGCAACAAUCUGAGGAGAAACAAACUAAUUUACUAAAUAAGAUAUCGGAACGCCAAACAACACACUAUAAUACAAUAUAAUUACAAUUUAAGCUGAUACAUCCAAUACAGAGAGAGAGAAUGUCCCAAAAUCAAGGUAGGCCUUACUCUACUACUGACGAUAAGACGGCUGGAGAGCGAGGUGCUGCCAAGACGAGAGACGGCGGAAAAAGGGACGAGGUCUCGUGAUCUGCAAGUUUUUAUACUGCGAGCUUUUAUCUUUUCCCUCCGGCUGGAAAUGGUAACAGAGGGGAAAAGUACCGUGGGGACUGUAGUAGUCCUUCUCUUCUGAGAACCAGGUAUAUCCACUACAUGAUGUUAUGAUGUGGAAUACCAAUAACCGAAAAUCACAAAACCAUGACACAAGAGAGAUGAGAUAAGAUUGGAAGACAGUCACUCAAGUGGAAGGGAUACUUCACUGAAAAAUUCCAUGGCAUGAUUUGGAGUUAGGUGAUGUCAGUAGUGCAUUGCUGCUGUCAGUCAGUGCAAGGUAUCUGACUUCUCAGUUAUAUAUUUAAGGGAAAAUUGUUGUAAAAUACAGUUUUACAGCUGAGAGAAAAUACAGAAAAUAAGUCAUGUCAAUGCCAUGUCUCUCACAUAAUUAUUGUUGGUUUUUUUUUUUUUUUUUUUUUUUUUUUUUUUUUUUUUUGUGAUGCUGCUUAGGCAAUUGGGAUGUUUCUAUGCCAGAGAGGAAUGUAUUUUCAGAAUAUUUAGGAAUUCAGUAACUGAAAAAGUCAGUUCAAAAAAAAAAAAAAAAGCUGAAAUAGAAAAUGAAGUUGUAUAGCACAUAUAAGAGCAGAAGUAUUCAUGAUCAACGACAACAACAGUUUAUUUCCAAACAGGAAUUUAGACAGCAAGUUCAGAAGCUUAUCAUAAAUGUGGCUGAGCUGUUAAUGUCCUACCUAAUAUCUAUGCCGCAUCAGCCAGUUGGACAAAACUGAAUUUUAAAUGGUCAGUAAAUAGACAUAGACUACUGUUUCACAAUCUGUUGACGAGAACUGACAAUGGUAUUAACAAGGGAAGGAGAACCAGAAGACUUCCAGCUUUGAAGACAGAAGGCAGAUACCUACACUACAUGGACCUAGUUUACAACCUGGUUUUUAGUCAUACUUAACUCCAUGUGAAAAAAGGUUGAGAAAGGAAUGAAAGUAUUCACUGCUAUGACACUUUUCUCCUGGAAACAUAAUGUGCUGAAAGGAUACGUGGUUGGACUAGAUGAUCUUUAAGGUCUUUUCCAACCUGAGCAAUUCUAUGAUUCUGUGAUUCUAUGAUAUACAUCUACAAGUGUGCAACUAGAAGUGGUAAUCAGUUGGCUAUUACACAUCAGUUCUCUUUUCGUUCUUCCACAGUAGUUGUGAUCAAGACUCUAGACAUAGUAUGUAUGAAAAUAUUCAUUAAGUAGUUUUCCUUUUCAGAGGAAGUGAAAUCUUGAAGUAAGCUUGUACUACAUGAAAUAAAUUGUAUUUAUUAAGGGAGUGGUAUUAGUAU
ensembl:lncRNA